rnacentral:rRNA from 1 species
UACGUAGGGGGCAAGCGUUGUCCGGAAUCAUUGGGCGUAAAGAGCGUGUAGGCGGCCAGGUAGGUCUGCUGUGAAAACUCGAGGCUCAACCUCGAGAUGUCGGCGGAAACCAUCUGGCUAGAGUCCGGAAGAGGAGAAUGGAAUUCCCGGUGUAGCGGUGAAAUGCGCAGAUAUCGGGAAGAACACCCGUGGCGAAGGCGGUUCUCUGGGACGGUACUGACGCUGAGACGCGAAAGCGUGGGGAGCGAACAGG